AUUGAACGCUGGCGGCAGGCCUAACACAUGCAAGUCGGACGGUAGCACAGAGGAGCUUGCUCCUUGAGUGACGAGUGGCGGACGGGUGAGUAAUGCUUGGGGAUCUGCCCGAUAGAGGGGGAUAACUACUGGAAACGGUGGCUAAUACCGCAUAACGAUGCAAGACCAAAGAGGGGGAGCUUCGGGCCUAUCAAUCUCGGAUGAACCCAGAUGGGAUUAGCUAGUAGGCGGGGUAAUGGCCCACCUAGGCGACGGUCCCUAGCUGGUCUGAGAGGAUUACCAGCCACACUGGAACUGAGACACGGUCCAGACUCCUACGGGAGGCAGCAGUGGGGAAUAUUGCACAAUGGGCGCAAGCCUGAUGCAGCCAGGCCGCGUGUAUGAAGAAGGCCUUCGGGUUGUAAAGUACUUUCAGCGGGGAGGAAGGCGGUGAGGUUAAUAACCUUGCCGAUUGACGUUACCCGCAGAAGAAGCACCGGCUAACUCCGUGCCAGCCGCCGCAGUAA
rnacentral:rRNA from 1 species